rfam:Populus trichocarpa scaffold_15_contig_77, whole genome shotgun sequence.
UAAUUUAUUUAAGGUAAAUUUUUAUCUAGUUGUGACAGACUCACACAUAAUUAUUCCUAAUCAUUUGUGAAAACUACUGUGUGAACAAUAUUUUUUUAAAAA